rnacentral:lncRNA from 1 species
AAUUGCUAUGAUUCUGCUGAAUCUAUUUUCUUUUUUAAAGAGAUGAUAUUUAUUUAUUUAUUUAUUUAUUUACUUAUUUACUUAUUUAUUUGUUUACUUUGAGAGGGAGAGAGAACAAGUGCAUCAGCUGGGGAGAGGCAGAGAGUGAGAGGGAGAGAGAAUCCCAAGCAGGCUCUGCACUGUCAGCACAGAGCCCAGUGUGGGGAACAUGAGAUCAUGACCUGAGCUGAAAUCAAGAGUAGGGUGCUUAACCUACUGAGCCACUCGGAUGCCCACCCCCCCAAAUCUAUUUUCAUACCUCACCAAGUUUCCUGCUAAAGAUUUGAUCACCAUAUAAUACAUAAGAGGUUUCAAAAACUAGUUUAAUAUCUUUUUGGGUUUUUUUGUUGUUGCUUUGACAAAUUAUGUGAUGAGGUAGACUUGUGUCAGAGUGCAGCAAUGAAAAUCGGACCCAGAACAUGGCAGGUUGAGAGUCACAGGAAAAGAUAAAGAAGGUAGAGUGAUUCUUUACCUUUUCUUUUUUUUUUUUUUUUUUUUACACAAAUAUCUCAGGUUAACUGAAAGUCUGGGGCUGGGAACAAAGAGGAACUCAACUGCUCUUUCCUGGUAAAUGCCUGCAAACCUAGCCCUGAGGGAGCUUUUGAUGCCCCGGUGUGCCUUUCAGCAGAAAACUGAGAUUACUUCACAUCAAAACAGAGAAAGUGUAAAUAGCAAAAGUCUUUAUUUGAAACUUCAUUUGGAAAUUAAGACUCUCAUAUUUCCAAAAUAUAUUAUCAUAAGGUUACCAACUCUCUUGAGUGAGAUAUUUCUGGUGUUUGUGUGCUGUUAA